UGGGCUGGGGCUCAGUGGCAGAGUACUUGCCUCCCACGUAUGAGGCCCUGGGUUCAAUCCUCAGCACUACAU
rnacentral:tRNA from 1 species